AUUGAACGCUGGCGGCAGGCCUAACACAUGCAAGUCGAGCGGAGCGGCGGACGGGGGAGUAAUGCCUAGGAAUCUGCCUGGUAGUGGGGGAUAACGUCCGGAAACGGGCGCUAAUACCGCAUACUAUCAGAUGAGCCUAGGUCGGAUUAGUUAGUUGGUGGGGUAAAGGACUACCAAGGCGACGAUCCGUAACUGGUCUGAGAGGAUGAUCAGUUACACUGGAACGGGAAAAGGGCCCAGACCCCUACGGUAGGCAGCAGUGGGGAUUUUUGGACAAUGGGGGAGAGCCGGAUCCAGCCAGGCCGCGUGGGGGAGGAAGGUCUUCGGAUUGUAAAGCACUUUAAGUUGGGAGACGUUACCAACAGAAUAAGCACCGGCUAACUUCGUGCCAGCAGCCGCGGUAUUC
rnacentral:rRNA from 1 species